rnacentral:rRNA from 1 species
GAUGAACGCUGGCGGCGUGCCUAAUACAUGCAAGUCGAACGCUGGAGAUCUAGCUUGCUAGAUCGAAGGAGUGGCGAACGGGUGAGUAAUACAUAAGCAACCUACCCACGAAGACUGGGAUAAUCUCUGGAAACGGGGACUAAUACCGGAUAGGUAAUCGGAAGGCAUCUUCUGGUUAUUAAAGGUUAAAAACACUGGUGGAUGGGCUUAUGGCGCAUUAGUUAGUUGGUGAGGUAACGGCCCACCAAGACGAUGAUGCGUAGCCGGCCUGAGAGGGUGAACGGCCACAUUGGGACUGAGACACGGCCCAGACUCCUACGGGAGGCAGCAGUAGGGAAGUUUCGGCGAUGGAGGCAACCCUGACCGAGCAACGCCGCGUGAGUGAAGACGGCCUUCGGGUUGUAAAGCUCUGUUGUAAGAGAAGAACGGUAGAUAGAGAAUAUCUAAGUGACGGUACCUUACCAGAAAGCCACGGCUAACUACGUG